rnacentral:rRNA from 1 species
UGGGGAACCUGCCCCAUAGUCUGGGAUACCACUUGGAAACAGGUGCUAAUACCGGAUAAGAAAGCAGAUCGCAUGAUCAGCUUUUAAAAGGCGGCGUAAGCUGUCGCUAUGGGAUGGCCCCGCGGUGCAUUAGCUAGUUGGUAAGGUAAAGGCUUACCAAGGCGAUGAUGCAUAGCCGAGUUGAGAGACUGAUCGGCCACAUUGGGACUGAGACACGGCCCAAACUCCUACGGGAGGCAGCAGAC